rnacentral:lncRNA from 1 species
AACCGCGUGGGGAAAGGGGUACUAAAAAGGGGGCAUCCGCCUGAGGAGCGGCAGACAGAGGAGGACGGUGAAGUAGGAGCGCUGCAAGGAGAAAGGAAGGACACGAGGGAUGGAGAGACAGCGAGGACCAGGGCCAAGGGCGGCGGGCGGGAGAGGGUUAAAGGCAACAGGAGACAAGGUCCUCCCUCCACUGCCUUUCACACUCCGGUUGCGGGAGAGGCCAAGCGAGAAAACCCAAAUCUAGAUGAAAACCGGGGGAGGGGAGGGGAGCACAGCGUCUCCUGCACCCGGGAGACCCGAGAACUCAGCGAUCAGCUGGCUGCCCGCGAUUCAUCGCUCCAUUCACGCCCAGGCAGGGAAUACCGACAUUAAGGCACUCCGGGAAGACGCGCAGGGCUCCCGGGAACAGUAUCAGGCGAAAGCAUCACGUACCAGUUUUCCUGCAUCCAUUGGAUGGCUUCAUUCUCG